rnacentral:rRNA from 1 species
AUGAACGCUGGCGGCGUGCCUAAUACAUGCAAGUCGAGCGGCAGCACGGUCUUCGGACUGGUGGCGAGCGGCGGACGGCUGAGUAACGCGUAGGAACAUACCCCAAACUGAGGGAUAAGCACCAGAAAUGGUGUCUAAUACCGCAUGUGAUCUUCGGAUUAAAGCUUCGGCGGUUUGGGAAUGGCCUGCGUAUGAUUAGCUUGUUGGUGAGGUAAUGGCUUACCAAGGCGACGAUCAUUAGCUGGUCUGAGAGGAUGAUCAGCCAGACUGGGACUGAGACACGGCCCAGACUCCUACGGGAGGCAGCAGUAGGGAAUUUUCCACAAUGGGCGAAAGCCUGAUGGAGCAACGCCGCGUGCAGGAUGAAGGCCUUCGGGUCGUAAACUGCUUUUCUGACUGACGAUUAUGACGGUAGGUCAGGAAUAAGGAUCGGCUAACUACGU